UACGGAGGAUGCGAGCGUUAUCCGGAUUUAUUGGGUUUAAAGGGUGCGUAGGCGGGCUUUUAAGUCAGCGGUAAAAAUUCGGGGCUCAACCCCGUCCGGCCGUUGAAACCGGGGGCCUUGAGUGGGCGAGAAGAAGGCGGAAUGCGUGGUGUAGCGGUGAAAUGCAUAGAUAUCACGCAGAACCCCGAUUGCGAAGGCAGCCUUCCGGCGCCCUACUGACGCUGAGGCACGAAAGUGCGGGGAUCGAACAGG
rnacentral:rRNA from 1 species